UACAGAGGGGGCAAGCGUUGUUCGGAAUUACUGGGCGUAAAGGGCGCGUAGGCGGCUAUUCAAGUGGCGGGUGAAAUCCCUCGGCUUAACCGAGGAACUGCCUGCCAGACUGGAUGGCUUGAGACCGGGAGAGGUGAGUGGAAUUCCCAGUGUAGCGGUGAAAUGCGUAGAUAUUGGGAGGAACACCAGUGGCGAAGGCGGCUCACUGGACCGGUACUGACGCUGAGGCGCGAAAGCGUGGGGAGCAAACAGG
rnacentral:rRNA from 1 species